rnacentral:rRNA from 1 species
UAAUGUAAUGUGAAUUGCAGAAUUCAGUGAAUCAUCGAAUCUUUGAACGCACCUUGCGCUCCUUGGUAUUCCGAGGAGCAUGCCUGUUUGAGUGUCAU